rnacentral:rRNA from 1 species
AACGAACGUUAGCGGCGCGCCUAACACAUGCAAGUCGAGCGAGAAAGGGAUUCGUCCCCAGUAAAGCGGCGCACGGGUGAGUAACACGUGGGUAACCUUCCCUUGAGCGGGGGAUAACGUUUCGAAAGGAACGCUAAUACCGCAUAAGACCACGGCCUCGAAAGAGGCUGAGGUAAAAGCAGGCCUCUAUAUAUAAGCUUGCACUUAAGGAUGGGCCCGCGUCCCAUCAGCUAGUUGGUAGGGUAACGGCCUACCAAGGCUAAGACGGGUAACUGGCCUGAGAGGAUGAUCAGUCACACUGGAACUGAGACACGGUCCAGACUCCUACGGGAGGCAGCAGUAGGGAAUCUUGCGCAAUGGGCGAAAGCCUGACGCAGCGACGCCGCGUGAGUGAUGAAGGCCUCGGUUGUAAGCUCUGUGGAGAGAGACGAAUAAGUAGGAGGCUAAUCACUCCAUGAUGACGG